GUGGGGAAUCUUGCGCAAUGGGCGAAAGCCUGACGCAGCCAUGCCGCGUGGAUGAUGAAGGUCUUAGGAUUGUAAAAUCCUUUCACCGGUGAAGAUAAUGACUGUAGCCGGAGAAGAAGCCCCGGCUAACUUCGUGCUAGCAGCCGCGGUAAUACGAAGGGGGCUAGCGUUGCUCGGAUUUACUGGGCGGAAAGGGCGCGUAGGCGGACAUUUAAGUCAGGGGUGAAAUCCCGGGGCUAAACCUCGGAACUGCAUUUGAUACUGGGUGUCUUGAGUAUGAGAGAGGUGUGUGGAACUCCGAGCGUAGAGGUGAAAUUCGUAGAUAUUCGGAAGAACACCAGUGGCGAAGGCGACACACUGGCUCAUUACUGACGCUGAGGCGCGAAAGCGUGGGGAGCAAACAGGAUUAGAAACCCUGGUAGUCC
rnacentral:rRNA from 1 species